rnacentral:rRNA from 1 species
UACGUAGGGUGCAAGCGUUAAUCGGAAUUACUGGGCGUAAAGCGUGCGCAGGCGGUUAUGUAAGACAGAUGUGAAAUGCCCGGGCUUAACCUGGGAACUGCAUUUGUGACUGCAUGGCUAGAGUACGGUAGAGGGGGAUGGAAUUCCGCGUGUAGCAGUGAAAUGCGUAGAUAUGCGGAGGAACACCGAUGGCGAAGGCAAUCCCCUGGACCUGUACUGACGCUCAUGCACGAAAGCGUGGGGGAGCAAACAGG